AAUCAACGCUGGCGGCGUGCCUAACACAUGCAAGUCGAACGCGAAAGGGGACUUCGGUUCCUGAGUAGAGUGGCGUACGGGUGAGUAACGCGUGGGUCAUCUGCCCUCGGGUGGGGAAUAACUAAUCGAAAGGUUAGCUAAUACCGCAUAACACAGUGAUGUCAAAGCAGCAAUGUGCCUGAGGAGGAGCCUGCGUCUGAUUAGGUAGUUGGUGGGGUAACGCCUACCAAGCCUGCGAUCAGUAGCUGGUCUGAGAGGACGGCCAGCCACAAUGGCACUGAGACACGGGCCAUACUCCUACGGGAGGGCAGCAGUGGGGAAUUUUGCGCAAUGGGCGAAAGCCUGACGCAGCAACGCCGCGUGAGGGAUGAAAUAUUUCGGUAUGUAAACCUCGC
rnacentral:rRNA from 1 species